CAGCCCCCAACCUUCCCAGUCCUUCCCCACCCUCACCAGCCAAGAAAGGGAGGCCAGGAGACUGGGGCUGCGGGCCUGGGGCUGGUGGGAGCUGAAGGAAAGAGGGCAGGCAGGACCCAGGCACGGAGCCCACCACAGCCGGGAGCCGAGGCCAGGCUGCCACCAGGGCACUGCCUCAGCUUUCCUCCGAGCAAGCGACUAGUGUCUACUCCUCGUCGAUCUAGCCACGUGCAGCUUCCAUCCCCGGCUCUUUCCUCCUUUGGGAACUCCCUGGUUCUUCUGCCUCGUACCCUGGUCUCGGCCUUCAGGAAACCCUCGCCAGGUCUUACCACCCCUGCCAGUCCCACCCCACUGCAGCCUGAUGCCUGGGUCCUCACUGUGCAGGAGGGUGAGUCUUGAGACUGCAAAGGAGGGGGGCUUGGUGGAAGAAUGAACCUUCACAUCCAGCACAGAGACUGAAGUUUUGGGGGCUGUUACUUGCCCCCGUCUGAACCCUCCGGCGUCUUCUUUCAGACAGGGAUGCCCAGAAGUUGGGGGUUUAUCUUCUUCUCUCAGAUCGAGGGUUCCUCUGACUCUCCCAAUGCCUGGGCCAUGCUGGUUGGGUGGGGUGGGGGGCAGGUGGUAUGGAGCUG
rnacentral:lncRNA from 1 species